UUGCACACAGAAGAUCAGGCUAAGAGAAAGAAUUAUAAAUCUCCGGAGGAAGGUCCGGUGGCUAAAUGGGAGCCAACAGUGAAAGGAUACUUUACAGUUUCUUAUGGACGGUAAAUUGGUUUACAACACGCUUGAAGGGAUCAUCGACGAAACCAAUUUCCCAACUUAUCGACCGCAAAUAGUGGCCAGAUCGGAGUUGCCUCGAGGGGUUUCUCAAAGCUUUCGGAGGUUAUUGACAUAAGCUCGGCUGCGCAUGGCGUAUUUGUUCUAGCUGGGACGAAGGGGUUUCCUCCAAAUUCUUCAACACACCAUUGACAGAUAUCUUCAAGGUUAGAAUCUCUCUUUCUGACAAUUUCGAUUCAUAUGGGAAUUUCAAUUUUAAUGUUUGUGAUUUCAGGGGAAGAAAGUCAUCAUCUGUGGACUCCCUUUGAGAAAAUGUCUAUCCCUUCAUCUUCCUUUAUUUCUUGAUCAUGUUUACAUGCUAGAACAAAUGAACGUUGCCAUAGCAUAUUGAGUUUUAUGGGAAUUUUGAUGGGAUAGUGUCUGUUGGUUUGGUUCUUGGUUUAAUGCACGUGUGGUUAAAACUUUGCUGCAAGUAACUUAGGAAGCGUUUUGUUUAUAGAGAAAGAGUGAAUGCUUGUAGAGUUUGUGACUGCAACUAGUUAUUUAUGUCGUCACUUUAUAUUUUAUGCAUCCUCUAAACAUAGAAAAUGGUGGUUUUUAUGUCUUAUAUGUUGUUCUUGUUUACAAAAGCGGUUUAUGUGUCUUCUUACUUCUGUUUUUGGUUAAACUCAUCUGCUCAUUUUCUUUGUAUGUCACUGCAAAUCAUAGCCCCAUUGAACUCUUGACACUCUUCCGUUCUGUUUUUCAGAGAACUUUUUAACUCAUGGAGAGCUUUUGGAAUGUAUGGUCAAUCUAUAUGACUUACAUGGCAAACCGUAAAAAAAAACAGACACGAUUUCAAGCUUAAAAACACUCAAAUAUUUUCUAUAUUAUCUCAGGCAUGAUUUUAUGUUUAGUUUUCGCCGCAUCAAACUGCAAUUAGCAUUCUUUAAGAUUGUUCUGUCUGUAGAAUUAGGUUGGUACAUGUAAGAGCUUGGAAGAACUACUCAUGUUAGACAUGUAUGAUUUCACAAAGUAUAAUGAAGUUUUCUUUUCUUUUUAUC